ensembl:lncRNA uncharacterized LOC102082358
AACCUACAUACCUAUUAAAAUGUGAAUCGAAGUGAUUCAGGUGUAUCAGGGGCACUUCAUCUCAGUUCCUACAACCAAUAUUCUGUAUCUUUCAGAUUCCUUCACUGCCUCAACUCCCCAACUGGUACUCUCUACAAGUUGGUCCAUCAGUCAGCUUUAGUCGUUGGCUCUGUACAGCUGACAGCUUCAGAAGAGGUGGAUGGAGAGGCCAUAACCUCUGGAACAUUCUCCAGCUGAGCUGUAGUCUGACCUUGGUCACUUUUAGACGGGAGUGUUCUUCCAGAAGCUGGAGAAUAACAAUACUUGGAUAUACAACGGAGAGUCCUUUCUAUUCAAAGCAGGGAUGCGAGGGGAAACAAGCAGAGAGGCAAUCUAACCAAAUCCAGAGACACCACAAGGACACUAGGAGAGACAGGAGGAAAGGCAAGGUUUAUGUUCAGAUGUGCUCUAUGUUCAUGUGCCUCACUGACUGUUGGUGUAUGACGUCUAACCGGAUAAAGGAUUUGGAUUUUACUCUUUGUGCUUUUGGGUCCUCUUCCUCCCUGACUGUUACAUGGGGAUGUAACUUACUACAGAAAGGUGGAUACAACAAUGACAUGUACCCUGAACACCACCCCUCCCCCCACCCACAAUUGCCCCCAGUAUUUCCUUAAAGUGGAUAUUUAGUUUAAAAUUAUUAAAUUAGAUACGUUUGACCUUGGCUGACAAACAUUCCAAAAGGUCAAUUCACACUUGCUCAUGUACACUGUGUUUUGCAACACAUACACAGUGUUCACUGAGCCAUACGACAUUAGGAUACAAACACACACAUGCACACUGAAGACAUACCUUUCAGCUGAUUCGACAAACUUGGUGCGUAUGUGUGGGGAAGGCUGGCGCUUUGGGGGACUAUUAUUGUCUUUUCUCCGGACACACGCACAUAUCACAGAUCCUCAUUUACACAUAAAUGCACAUAAGCUCAAGUAAUCUCAGCCUCACACAUACACACACUCUCAGAGAGAGCAUAGGUUAGCUGCUGAACUGUAGAAAGGUUCAGUGCACUCUGACACUUAAUAACAAGGGUCCACGUCAGAUUUCAUUUCCUGUGUGACUCUUUGCCCUUUCUCUGUCACUUUUUGCUUUCCUUUCCUUUCCCCUGUGAUUUUCUUCCCUUUAUUUCUGCACUGCUCAUAGUCUCGAGUGGAGCCUCCAAGAGCAAUUUUAAUCUAAUGUCUGCGUUUCACAGAGACUUGUUCUUACAUAAAUGAAAUUUAUUGUGUUCUUCGGCAUGCAUCUUUGAUGAGAAACUCACUAUUCACUAAAAUUUAAAAAAAUAGAGGAAUCAUGAUUUAACAGCAAAUAUGGGCAGUGUGGCUGUUGAGCUUUCUAUCUGUCUGAACCAAAGCCACUUAUUUCUGGGGCAAAAACAAAGCCUGGAUCACAGUGUGAAGCACGCCUACACUCACCUAUUAAUAGAUUAUUUUCAGAGUCAUAAGAAAGACGUUAUUUUUCCAAUUCCUCCAUCUGACUUUGUUCCUUAUUAAGUUAUUGGUACUAAAGUGGGUCGAAGUGUCGUGGCUGAGAAAGCCAAUUAUCUCUUAUCCUCCUGUGAGACCUGCCUUUAAUUAUCAACUUUUUAUAACUCCGGUCUUAAUGAUAUAGCCAUCGGUGUCUGCAUCUGUGUCUCACUAUCGUCCCUCUGUCUGGAUUUUCUUUGUCUGUGGUUUGAUAACUCUGUUUUAUGAAACAGCCUGUGGGAUGUGUCCCUGAAUCUGACACUCUAACCUUAUUCUAACAUCUGAUUUCAGCACAUACUGCAUUUCUUCUUCUAUCUGCACUCAAAGAAAUGAGUUUCAACACUCUAAAGACUACAAAUUAUUCUGAGAAAUAAGCAAAUUCAAAAGAAAAUUUGCUUUUUAUUUGACUGUUUUAAAGCAGUAGUGCAUACUGAGAGGCCGCGUCCUGACAGUGAGUAAAAUAAAGCUUUAAAAUUAAUCUGUUCUCUUAGUUCACAGAAGAAACAUAAUGUUAGCUGUGUAAGAAACACAUUAUGCUUCUGCAUAUAUGAUAUGAUGGUUUGAUUGAUCACAAAUGCAACAGAUGCUGCUUCCUGAAUGUAUAUAUGUUAAAACAUAACAAUACAAGACAUCACUGAGUCCAACUCAUUUAUUAUUUUCAACCUAUUUUUUCAUCCUUUUAUAUAAUCUUUUUUAAAUUGCACUUAAUUUUCCACAUGACGGAUGAUUGUAAUUGGCCUUUGCCACUUAGAAAUCAGUCAGCAAGACAGCAGACAGAUUUGUGUCUUGCCAGUAAGAGCGCUGCAUCUGCACUGUAAUAUGAAUAGCACUUGUAUUGCACUUUACAUUGCCACCUAAUUAAAGAAAAACAAGGCUUCCCAAACAUUAACAUUGGAGUGUCAGUUCAGGCUUCAAACAUUUUAUAAUUUUAAACAGUUAUUUAACAGUGCAACGCUUUUUUUAAUCCAAAUUUUUACAGGCAAGUGCUGUGAUCAGAGAAAUAAUGAAACUGUUCCCUUGAGCUCUGUUCUCGAGCUAUAGCUUGAGAGCCCUAAGACAUACCUUUCCAUUUUACGGCCUCAUUUUCUGUCAACUGAAACUAAAUUAAUCUUGGUUACAAGCAGUGGAGAUGCAAUCAAAGCACAUUUGCACAUCUGGUUCACGGGAAACACAUGGAGAAGUUCCACCUAAUGAGUGCUGAUUUGUUGUAAUGCUUCUGAUGCUGAUCUGCCAUUGUCUUGUUAUUGUCUGCUGUCCCUGCACAAUAAAUUUGCUUUCAG